rnacentral:rRNA from 1 species
GAUGAACGCUGGCGGCGUGCCUAAUACAUGCAAGUCGAGCGAACGGACGAGAAGCUUGGUUCUCUGAUUUUAGCGGCGGACGGGUGAGUAACACGUGGAUAGCCUACCUAUAAGACUGGGAUAACUUCGGGGAACCGGAUCUAAUACCGGAUGAUAUUUUGAACCUCAUGGUUCAAGAGUUAAAGACGGUCUUGCUGUCACUUAUAGAUGAAUCCGCGCUGCAUUAGCUAGUUGGUAAGGUAACUGCUUACCAAGGCAACGAUGGAUAGACGACCUGAGGGCGUGAUUGGACAGCCUGGAAGUGAGACACGGUACACACACCUAGGGGAGGACGCAGCAGGGACUCUUACGCGAGGGGCGAAAGCCUAACGGAGCACAGUCGCGUGAGUGAUGAACGUGUUAGGAUCGUAAAACUAUGAUAUUAGGGAAGAACAUAAGUGUAAGUACCUGUGAAGAUAUUGACGGUACCUAAUCAGAAAGCCACGGCUAACUCCGUG